UCCAUCUCAAAAUUAGCCCCUGUUUGGCCCCCAUUACGAGGAAAAUUUAAUGUAUAGAAUAGUGUUUUUUGAAAAAUGAGUGGUUGAAAAAGAAAGAAAAUUUUUUUAUUUACGUGUAAUAUUAUUUUAUGGAAGAUUGUGUGGUUGAAAAUAGGAGAGAGAAAAAGUAGAAUGUAAUGUAAUGUAAUUUAAUGAAAAUCAAACAAGGACUUAGUAAAAAGGUUGAAAAAAGGUUGAAUGAUCGUAAUGAAAUGUUAUAUGAAAUUGAGUGAUUAUAUUGACACUAAAUGUGAAGUCAAGCAGCAAUGGUGAAAAUUAAGUUGGACGGCCACAAUGAAAUAUAAAAUGGAUUAUGGUGGUUGAACACCAUGGUGUACAGACUCUUCACAUAUGAGAUGGCCCAUCAUUAAUAAAAAUAUUAGUGGACCUGAUGAGGGAACUAUACACCAUGCUGUAUAACAAGCAUCGUUGAUAUAAAAUUGGUGGGACAUUAGCGGAUGUAACCACGAAUGGCUGUUAAUAUUUUGCUGUAAAAAAUCAGGGCAAAAUCAUCGGCCAUACAGUGAUACAGAGAGGGGAAACCACGCUUAAAGAAUUCCCAAUCUCUCCAUAAACCUCAUUCUUACCUUCCAAGCUGCUAACCCUAGUAGCUCAAUGUUCCAAAUAUGCCCCUUAUUUGACUGCAAUUGAGAUCUUUGGGAUUCAAGGGACUGAGGGAGGCAAUUCUGUAAAUAAUGCAAAAAAUAAAUAAAUAAAUAAUUGUUUUAUGAAAUAUUCAUCUAAAUAUAGGUGUAAAAAUUUCUUAUUAUUUAACAAAACAAUGCUUCAAAAUCAAAAUUUCCAAACUAGGGGAAAAAUUGAAAAUAAGGCUCAGAUCUGAGAUCUUGAUCGACAAAGAGAAUCAACCAUGCCAUGGCUGCAAAAUCACCGGUUGCUCUUGAGACAGAAAAAUCUAAAAUCAAGUACAAUCCGGGUCGCCACGCCAAGAUACGGGUCGAAUUGUCUCGAUGCCUAAUUGAUGAGCUCGGAAGAAUGAGAUGCAUCAUCACAGCCUUAAGAAAUGGUGAUGGAAAAAGUGAGUAAUAGUAGAUGAAAAUGCAUAAUUUCUCGGCAAACCCAGAAGGAUGUAUAGUAAAAUCAAUGGAAUGUUUCACAAUCAUAUAUGCUGCUGCUUCCUCUGCAAUUUUCCAAGGGCUGUUGAUUUUUUGUUGCUAGUAAUGGGGAAAAAUCAUCGACUUUGAAGAGAGGCAACCACCCUUGAAAUCCCAAUCUCUCCAUAAUCCUCAUUCUUCCCUUCCAAGCUGGUAGCCCCAGACUGACCUUUGGCUCGUUAUUUAUAGUUCCCCUAGUGUUCCUACUUUACCCCUAGAUAAGGGCCAUUUUACGACAUUUGGGAAGGCUUGCUAAAUGAAUAUAAUGGUG
rnacentral:lncRNA from 1 species